rnacentral:rRNA from 1 species
ACGCUGGCGGCACGCCUAACACAUGCAAGUCGAACGCAGUAGCAAUACUGAGUGGCAAACGGGUGAGUAUAAUGUGGGAAUCUGCCUUUUGGUUUGGAAUAACACGAGGAAACUUGUGCUAAUACCGGAUAAGUCUUUACGGAGAAAGCUUUAUGCACCAUUGGAUGAGCCUGCACUUGAUUAGUUUGUUGGUGGGGUAAUGGCCUACCAAGACUGUGAUCAAUAGCUGAUUUGAGAGGAUGAUCAGCCACAUUGGGACUGAGACACGGCCCAAACUCCUACGGGAGGCAGCAGUGGGGAAUCUUGCACAAUGGAGGAAACUCUGAUGCAGCGAUGCCGCGUGAGUGAAGAAGGCCCUUGGGUUGUAAAGCUCUUUCGUCGGGGAAGAAAAUGACUGUACCCGAAUAAGAAGGUCCGGCUAACUUCGUGCCAGCAGCCGCGGUAAUACGAAGGGACCUAGCGUAGUUCGGAAUUACUGGGCUUAAAGAGUUCGUAGGUGGUUGAAAAAGUUAGUGGUGAAAUCCCAGAGCUUAACUCUGGAACUGCCAUUAAAACUUUUCAGCUAGAGUAUGAUAGAGGAAAGCAGAAUUUCUAGUGUAGAGGUGAAAUUCGUAGAUAUUAGAAAGAAUACCAAUUGCGAAGGCAGCUUUCUGGAUCAUUACUGACACUGAGGAACGAAAGCAUGGGUAGCGAAGAGGAUUAGAUACCCUCGUAGUCCAUGCCGUAAACGAUGUGUGUUAGACGUUGGAAAUUUAUUUUCAGUGUCGCAGCGAAAGCGAUAAACACACCGCCUGGGGAGUACGACCGCAAGGUUAAAACUCAAAUGAAUUGACGGGGACCCGCACAAGUAGUGGAGCAUGUGGUUUAAUUCGAAGAUACGCGCAGAACCUUACCAACACUUGACAUGUUCGUCGCGACUCUAAGAGAUUAGAGUUUUCGGUUCGGCCGGACGAAACACAGGUGCUGCAUGGCUGUCGUCAGCUCGUGUCGUGAGAUGUUGGGUUAAGUCCCGCAACGAGCGCAACCCUCACUUUUAGUUGCCAUCAUUAAGUUGGGCACUCUGAAAGAACUGCCAGUGAUAAGCUGGAGGAAGGUGGGGAUGACGUCAAGUCCUCAUGGCCCUUACGUGUUGGGCUACACACGUGCUACAAUGGUAUCUACAACAGGAAGCAAGACUGCGAAGUUAAGCAAAUCCCUAAAAGAUACCUCAGUUCGGAUUGCACUCUGCAACUCGAGUGCAUGAAGCUGGAAUUACUAGUAAUCGUGGAUCAGCGUGCCACGGUGAAUGCGUUCCCGGGUCUUGUACUCACC